AACGUAGGAGACAAACGUUAUCCGGAUUUACUGGGCGUAAAGGGCGUGCAGGCGGUCUGUUAAGUCUGGCGUGAAAGCUCUCGGCUAAACCGGGAGAGGUCGUUGGAUACUGACGGACUAGAGGACGGUAGAGGCGUGUGGAAUUCCGGGUGUAGUGGUGAAAUGCGUAGAGAUCCGGAGGAACACCAGUGGCGAAGGCGACACGCUGGGCCGUACCUGACGCUAAGACGCGACAGCAUGGGGAGCGAACGGG
rnacentral:rRNA from 1 species